GACGAACGCUGGCGGCGUGCUCAACACAUGCAAGUCGAACGGAAAGGCCUGCUUUCCCUUGUGGAUUGCGGGUACUCGAGUGGCGAACGGGUGAGUAACACGUGAGUGAUCUGCCCCCAACUUGGGUAUAAGCCUGGGAAACUGGGUCUAAUUCCCGAUAGGACUGCAGGGUGGUGCCUGUGGUGGAAAACGAUUUUCUAGUGGUUGGGGAUGAGCUCGCGGCCUAUCAGCUUGUUGGUGGGGUAAUGGCCUACCAAGGCGGCGACGGGUAGCCGGCCUGGGAGGGUGGACGGCCACAUUGGGACUGAGAUACGGCCCAGACGCCUACGGGAGGCAGCGGUGGGGAAUAUUGCACAGUGGGCGGAAGCCUGAUGCAGCGACGCCGCGUGGGAGAUGACGGCCUUCGGGUUGUAAACUCCUUUCGACCGCGAGGAAGCCACCUGGUUGGAAGGGUGGUGACGGUAGUGGUAGAAGAAGCACCGGCUAACUACGUG
rnacentral:rRNA from 1 species